CAGAAAUGGAGGCUUUAACUCCAUUUCCUCUUUAAAACUGCCCUUUUUUCCUUUGCAGAUUGGACUGGCUAAGGACGAUCAGCUGAAGGUUCAUGGGUUUUAAGUGCUUCUGGCUCACUGAAGCUUAAGUGAGGAUUUCCUUGCAAUGAGUAGAAUUUUCCUUCUGUCCCUUGUCACAAGUUUAAAAACCUCACAGCUUGUGUAAUGUAACCAUUUGGGGUGUGCUUUUAACUUGGACUAGUGUAACUCCUUCAUGCAAUAAACUGAAAAGAGCCAUGCUGUCUAGUCUUGAAGUCCCUCAUUUAAACAGAGAUCAAGCAGUAGGCACCUGGCAGUGUCCGGCCUGAAACAAAGCAGUAACAGUGAUGUUUCAGCCAAGUCCAGAGCCCCAAGAUCACAGACGGCUAUGUCUGGCCAGAAGCUCCUCAGCAAUCCCUCUACAGAGUUCCCUGCCCUAAGAGAAUGUCGCCACCUGAACAGCCCUCGGUGAAGCUGAGAGUGGAGGAUGGGGUGAGGCAGCGACGGCAGCUGUACUGCUAGAGGGAGUCUUUGAUCAUCAGGGGAAAGAUCCCCUGGUACCUCCAGCGUGACCAGGUGGGCAGAGCUUAGAGCAGCCACCUUCCUUCUAUUGAGGUGACAGGACAUCUGGCUUGCCACCAAGGUCUUUUUGACCAGACAUAUCCUAGCUGAUCGAUGUCCAAACUAGAAUGUGAGGCCAACCUUCUAUCAGAGUUAAACUUUUGACAAGGGAACAAAUUUCAAACCGAUGUAUCAGUCAUGUAGCUGUAGAGCUCGCAACUUACUAGCAACAGCUGCCCAAUGCCAUGUGAAGUAACAAACUGGUUUUUGGUUCUUUUUGGGUUUUUUUCCCCCUUCAGUUUUAAUGUUAUGUAAUGUAUUUAAACCCUUAUUUAAAUAAAACUUGUUUUCAGAAACAUCUGACUUGCAGAUUUCUGUUUAAUAGUCAUAGUCAAUCUUGUAUGUGUGGAGGAACCACAGAAAUGCCAGUAGAGGAUACAUCUGCCCCUGCAGCUCCUCAAAUGGGGCCUCAACCUCUUAAUGAGAAACUAGUGAGCUUGUCCCUCCAAGUGCCCCCCACGUCAGCUGUCUUGUAAGCAUUCAGCCAGAGCUGUGCUGUCCCAUUAAUCUGUCCUGAAAGAAGGUGCUGCUUGGCCAACUGCCUGAGUGGUUUAGUGGUUGUGGAGGAACUUGCCUUGUGAGAUGACAGGGCAGAGUUGGUUUGGAAAUCCUUGAAUUCCCUUCUUAACAGGUCUUAAGGACUGUGACAAAAUGAUAAACAUGGUGUGCGGCUUGAUGUAAUCCACAAACCCUAGAAUAAGGCAUAACGAAAGUACUUUUUCUAGAGAAUAGGUUUGUAGUAUUAAAAAUCUAGUUACUAAAAUGUUGGAGAAGCUGAUACUUAAUGUUGGGAGGCCAUCCCUUGACAAAGGGCAGUGAGCAGUGAAGUGUAUCAAAGUCUGCUCUUAAUGGGGCUUCCCUGGUGGCGCAGUGGUUGGGAGUCUGCCUGCCAAUGCAGGGGACACGGGUUCGUGCCCCGGUCCGGGAAGAUCCCACAUGCCGCAGAGCGGCUGGGCCCGUGAGCCAUGGCCGCUGAGCCUGCAUGUCCAGAGCCUGUGCUCCGCAACGGGAGAGACCACAACAGUGAGAGGCCCACGUACCGCAAAAAAUACAAUAAUAAUAAUAAAAGUCUGCUCUUAGGGCCAUUCUAUUAAACACAAAAUCUUCUGUUUGUGGGUUAUGAAUUGGUCAGACUUAAGUGAUCAGUUAAGAAUGGUCUGAGGAUGGUCGUUAGGAGUCAAUGCUUCCCCUCUUGGUUGCCGGCCCAUUUUGUAAAUAAAGGUUAGCCUCCCACAUAGAGGCCAACCUGGAGCCAGGGAGGUGUGUGUGGAAGAGGAGGACAAGUGAGAUGCAGGGCUGAGCCAGUGGUAACUGCCCUGAAAACAAGAUUCUAACCCCAGAGGCAGAUGCUUGUAACCGAAGAUCCUACAAAACUGAUUGUGUUCAAUAAACUUACCACUUGGCUCCAAAUGUAGCGGCAUUGUUCAAAUUAUUUGGAUGAUACUUUUAAAAAUCAGAAAGAUCUGACUGUUAAGCAAACUGGCUUGUAGGGGCUUCUAUUACAGAACAACCUAGAGGCCAAACCCACAGAAGACCACAAUCAGAAUAUGGGAUGAGGGGCUUCCCUGGUGGCGCAGUGGUUAAGAAUCCGCCUGCCAGUGCAGGAGACAUGGAUUCAAGCCCUGGUCUGGGAAGAUCCCACGUGCCAAGGAGCAACUAAGCCCGUGCACCACAACUACGGAGCCUGUGCCUUAGAGCCUGCGAACCACAACUACUGAGCCCGCAUGCCUAGAGCCCAUGCCCUGCAACAAGAGAAGCCACCGCAAUGAGAAACCCACGCACCACAAUGAAGAGUAGCCCCCGCUCGCGGCAACUAGAGAAAGCCCACGUGCAGCAGCCAAGAUCCAAUGCAGUCAAAAAUAAGUAAAUUUUUUUUUUUAAUCUUUUAAAAGAAGAUGGAAUGAAACAGUAAGAGAAUCCUGUGCUGUUGAUGUGCUGGUCCUGUGCUAGGUUGUUAACAUUUCUUGUGGCUAUUAAAGACCUCCAGUUCUCCAGAAUGGGACUAUUCUUUGGAAAACUAGCAACAUCAGUAUUCAGUCAGCUGUCUGGAACCAACCAAAACAAAUAUCUGAACAUAAUGGCAAGAGUCUCCCUGCCCAGCCCGAUGCUCACCCUCGGCAACGGGAACAAGCAGGGCCAAAGACAAAAUGAAGGCAAAAUGCAGACAGUACGCGGGCCUCUCACUGCUGUGGCCUCUCCCGUCGCGGAGCACAGGCUCCGGACGCACAGCCUCAGCGGCCAUGGCUCACGGGCCCAGCCGCUCCGCGGCAUGUGGUAUCUUCUCGGACCAGGGCAAGAACCCGUGUCCCCUGCAUCGGCAGGUGGACUCUCAACCACUGCGCCACCAGGGAAGCCUCCAAUAAAAUUUUUUAAAAAGAAUUAAAAAAACAAAACAAAAAACUACUAUUCACUGUCACAAUUACUUUGAAAUUAAGAGCUCCUUGACUAAUUUUUAACUUUUAAGGAGAUAAGACAUUAUUUCAAAAUUAGCUCAUAAUCUGAGGCUUUGGUAAUUUCUUCUCUUGCACUUAACUCCAAUUAAAAUAUUCAUAAAAUGCACUGUUCUUGGUGGAACCUGUUAAAAAUUCAGAUUCUAGGCCCCUCCCAGGACAAUUUGGCUGUCCUGGGUAUUAGCUAACCAGUGCCCGGGUCCCAGCUACUUUUCAAGGGCCUACAAAAAUGGCUAAGGACUGAAGAAAAAUGCAUCAUUUCCAAAAUUUGACUCAAAAACUGCAAAAUCAGCAUAACUGUUUAACACUACAAAAGCUAACA